CCCUUAGAUGUCCUGGGCCGCACGCGCGCUACACUGAUGCAUGCAACGAGUUUAUAACCUUGGCCUGAAAGGUCUGGGUAAUCUUUUGAACGUGCAUCGUGAUAGGGAUAGAUUAUUGCAAUUGUUAACCUUGAACGAGGAAUUCCUAGUAAACGCGAGUCAUCAGCUCGCAUUGAUUACGUCCCUGCCCUUUGUACACACCGCCCGUCGCACCUACCGAUUGAAUGGUUCGGUGAAGAUCUCGGACUUCGAUAUUUAUUCUUUAUUGAGUUUAUAUUGUGGGAAGUUAUCUAAACCUCAUCAUUUAGAGGAAGGUGAAGUCGUAACA
rnacentral:rRNA from 1 species